GGAUGAGGAGAGCCCAGAGGACAAGCUGAGUCUCUGCCUUUUGGAGUCCUCACCUCUGAAAAGCCCUGCGGAGCAGAUCUGGUCCACGUCGGCGAGUGCCAGGAGAGCCUCUCGGGCACAGAGGCUCCCGAGAGAGAUGUCCAGCAAGAGCCUCCUCCAGCAUGACGAGCGCCAGUGCCGGCCAGCCAGGCUGUUAACACCAAUGCUUCCGUCUGUUCAGUAAAGCCCCAUCUGCAAACCACUG